rnacentral:rRNA from 1 species
CCUACGGGGGGCAGCAGUGAGGAAUAUUGGUCAAUGGGCGCGAGCCUGAACCAGCCAAGUCGCGUGAGGGAAGACGGUCCUAUGGAUUGUAAACCUCUUUUGUCGGGGAGCAAAAGACGCCACGCGUGGCGUUCCGAGAGUACCCGAAGCACAAGCAUCGGCUAACUCCGUGCCAGCAGCCGCGGUAAUACGGGGGAUGCGAGCGUUAUCCGGUUUUAUUGGGUUUAAAGGGUGCGCAGGCGGUCGUUUAAGUCAGCGGUCAAAGCCCGGGGCGAAACCCCGGCCCGCCGGUGAAACUGGCAGUCUCGAGUUGGAGAGAAGUAUGCGGAAGGCGCGGUGUAGCGGUGAAAUGCAUAGAUAUCGCGCAGAACUCCGAUUGCGAAGGCAGCAUGCCGGCUCCACACUGACGCUGAGGCACGAAAGCCAGGGGAGCGAAAGGGAUUAGAUACCCCUGUAGUC